GACGAAGGGGGGCUAGCGUUGUUCGGAAUUACUGGGCGUAAAGCGCGCGUAGGCGGCUCUUCAAGUCAGGCGUGAAAGCCCCGGGCUUAACCCGGGAAUAGCGCUUGAUACUGUUGGGCUUGAGUCCGGGAGAGGAUAGUGGAAUUCCCAGUGUAGAGGUGAAAUUCGUAGAUAUUGGGAAGAACACCAGUGGCGAAGGCGGCUAUCUGGACCGGAACUGACGCUGAGACGCGAAAGCGUGGGGAGCGAACAGG
rnacentral:rRNA from 1 species